CUCGUAGGCGGUUCGGUAAGUCGGGUGUGAAAACUCUGGGCUCAACCCAGAGCCGCCACCCGAUACUGCUGUGACUCGAGUGCGGUAGGGGAGCGGGGAAUUCCUGGUGUAGCGGUGAAAUGCGCAGAUAUCAGGAGGAACACCAGUGGCGAAGGCGCCGCUCUGGGCCGUGACUGACGCUGAGGAGCGAAAGCGUGGGUAGCAAACA
rnacentral:rRNA from 1 species